rnacentral:lncRNA from 1 species
UUUUUUUUUUUUUUUUUUUAAAUCUUUUUUAUUCUUUCAAACAUUCCUGUUUUGGUACUUGCUGAUUUAUCCUGUCAAGUUAUUUAUUUUUGACUGUUUUUGACUGUUUUCUUGGGAACUUGUUUACUAAGUAAACAGGCUUUCCUCAUGAAGGUGGUUUUGAUUUUACGGAAAACGAAAUUUGGCUUCUUACAUGUGGCAUUUUCUUUGGUCAGGUUUCGGAACUGUGCCUGUGCUCACAGCCUCCCGGCGGGGAUCCAGUCAUACAGUCAUACUCGUUUUCAGAAGAUGUGGUUGAAUUUUUAUUCUUUUAUACAACUGGUGUAUAUGCACCACAAAUGCUUUCCCUGGUUUUGCUUUUUUAGGGCCACACCUGCAGUAUGUGGAAGUUCCCAGGCUAGGGGUCAAAUUGGAGCUACAGCUGCUGGCCUACACCAUAGCCACACAGGAUCCCAGCCAACAUCUGUCUCCAACACCAUAGCUCAUGGCAAUGCCGGAUCCCCGACCCACUGAGCGAAGCUGGGGAUCGAACCUGCAUCCUCAUAGAUACUGGUUGGGUUUGUUUCUGCUGUGCCACACAUGGAACUCCCCCACCGGCUUUAUGUAUGUUAGACAUGGCAUGUGUGUUCUGCAAGAAGUUUAUUUCUGUGCGGCGAGCACAUCUCCAUAGGGCAGAGACGGUUAGCAGUGGAGCCGCUCUGGCUGGUCAACCCCCAGCCCAGCCAGUGCUCCCUAAACAGCUGGCAGUAGGUUAGGGAGCAGCAGGCCCAAGAGGGCUGGACAUGGAGCCUGUGUAUGAGGUGAGUGAGAAUCCAGCCCAGGGUUGGCAAACUGCAUUUGGCUGCCUCCUUAUGUAAAUAAAGUUUUAUUGAGACACAGGCCCAUUCAUCACUGCCUUGUCUGGUUGCUUCUCUGCUUCACAGCCGAGUCUGUGUGGCCUGCAGAGCCCAAAUGUUUACUCCUCAGCCAUUAGAAGACAUUUGCUGACCCCUCUCUAACCUGAUGUUGUCCAGAGAAAACUCCAGAUAAAUGUGUAUCUUGAGAUGACUUACUCUGUGGUACCUGACGGAUUAAGAAGUAAAAUCACCUCCAGUUUUGCACAGGACAUUUUGUUAGCAACAAAAUAGUAUUACUUUUCUGCACUAAUUUUGAAACAUCAAAUAGGUUUUGUGAUUUUUGUGUAAAACUCUUUCUUUUCUCGUUAAGAUGCUUUUCCUUUUUGCAGUGUCGACUACGAGACGUUCGACAUACUGGAGGAUGAGGAAGUCCGGCAGGGAUUGAAAACCUACUCCAACUGGCCGACGUACCCUCAGCUGUAUGUGAAAGGGGAGCUGGUCGGAGGCCUGGAUAUUGUUAAGGAACUAAAAGAAAACGGUGAGCUGCUGCCUAUCCUGAAAGGAGAAAACUAAUCAGUGGGGGACUUGGUGCCCAGCUACUGCAGGAGGCCGUCACUCCGCUGAGUGACCAGUCCCUGAGGUGGCCGAGGAGUAGGAGAUGCUUAUCCCCGGUUACGCUGGUGUAUUUCUCGAGGCUGCGCUAAGUGAGCGGAUGCGACGUGUUUUCCACCCAAAUGAGAAGGCAAUAAACAUCUUCAAGUUCAAUUGAAAAUAA